rnacentral:tRNA from 1 species
AGAGAUUUAAGUUAUCUAAACUAGUAGCCUUCAAAGCUUUAAUUGGCCCCUAAGCCAAUCUCUA